rnacentral:rRNA from 1 species
AACGAACGCUGGCGGCAUGCCUAACACAUGCAAGUCGAACGAGACCUUCGGGCCUAGUGGCGCACGGGUGCGUAACGCGUGGGAACAUGCCCUUAGGUUCGGAAUAACUCCCCGAAUGGGGUGCUAAUACCGGAUAAUGUCUUCGGACCAAAGAUUUAUCGCCAUUGGAUGGGCCCGCGUUGGAUUAGCUAGUUGGUAGGGUAAAAGCCUACCAAGGCGACGAUCCAUAGCUGGUCUGAGAGGAUGAUCAGCCACACUGGGGCUGAGACACGGCCCGGACUCCUACGGGAGGCAGCAGUGGGGAAUAUUGGACAAUGGGCGAAAGCCUGAUCCAGCAAUGCCGCGUGAGUGAUGAAGGCCUUAGGGUUGUAAAGCACGUUUACCCGGGAUGAUAAUGACAGUACCGGGAGAAUAAGCUCCGGCUAACUCCGUG